rnacentral:rRNA from 1 species
UUUCUCCGCCGGCGACGGCGCACGGGUGAGUAACACGUAUGCAACCUGCCCCUGUCAGGGGGACAACCCGCCGAAAGGCGGGCUAAACCCGCGUACAUGCCACCGGGGCAUCCCGGAGGCAGGAAAGGCUUCGGCCGGACAGGGAUGGGCAUGCGGCGCAUUAGGCAGUAGGCGGGGUAACGGCCCACCUAACCGACGAUGCGUAGGGGUUCUGAGAGGAAGGUCCCCCACACUGGUACUGAGACACGGACCAGACUCCUACGGGAGGCAGCAG